GAGACCACCUGGCCCAGGGACCUCCGAGGCAGGCAGUCAAGCCACACUGGGACACAGAGUCACACUUCCUUCCUUCUUCCAUAGGAGAACCUGCGAGAGUUCUCACAGCUGGUCGGAGAGGGCAGUGUCCCAGCUUACAGAGACGUGGUGGAGCACAGUACAGUGGCUCAGCUGGAGGGGAUGAGGGGAAUCCAGCAUGAAGACAAGGGGGCACCUGCCUGUUCAUCAACUGGGAGUUCCAUCAUGAAAGCUAAUCGAGUAUUCGCCAAGCUAAUGAGGAACGGUUGAGCCAUACACAGAUACGUCCUGGCCCUGUCUCUCAGUUCUGGGGAAAGCCCUCCUUGAGGCAGGUUGUCCCUUAACCUUCCUGGGACAUGCGCUGUGUGGCAACCUGGAGAAGCAGACAGAGGUGUUCGAAUGAGCUCACCUGGCUGGGAAGGUGCCGGAACUUUGAACCAGGACUCCAGGACACGUCCAGACUCUUCUGGGAUCGCCCAUGUUGCCAUCUCUUCCUCUUCCCAGAAAUCUAGUGGGUGGCUGUGGACCAAUUCCAUCUCAAGCUACCUGUGUCACUGCUGCCAGGCGCAGGUGAAGAAAGAAAGCUGUCAGGGUCUCCAGGCCUGCCAGCUCACGUGGACACCAGGCUUGCUCCACAUGCAUUUUGCAUUGAGUGUUAUUUGUAUAGCUGCUACUGGGAUCAUUUGAGAACUCCAAGCUCCCAAAUCUAAAGGCAGCAGACAAAGGCGGUUUUC